rnacentral:rRNA from 1 species
GACGAACGCUGGCGGCGUGCCUAAUACAUGCAAGUCGAGCGGACUUGGAGGAGCUUGCUCCUCUUGGUUAGCGGCGGACGGGUGAGUAACACGUGGGCAACCUGCCUAUGAGACUGGGAUAACUCCGGGAAACCGGGGCUAAUACCGGAUAAUUCUUUUCUACACAUGUAGAAAAGCUGAAAGAUGGUUUCGGCUAUCACUCAUAGAUGGGCCCGCGGCGCAUUAGCUAGUUGGUGAGGUAACGGCUCACCAAGGCGACGAUGCGUAGCCGACCUGAGAGGGUGAUCGGCCACACUGGGACUGAGACACGGCCCAGACUCCUACGGGAGGCAGCAGUAGGGAAUCUUCCGCAAUGGACGAAAGUCUGACGGAGCAACGCCGCGUGAGUGAUGAAGGUUUUCGGAUCGUAAAACUCUGUUGUUAGGGAAGAACAAGUACCGGAGUAACUGCCGGUACCUUGACGGUACCUAACCAGAAAGCCACGGCUAACUACGUGCCAGCCGCCGCAGUAAAAC